rnacentral:rRNA from 1 species
UAGGGAAUCUUCGGCAAUGGACGGAAGUCUGACCGAGCAACGCCGCGUGAGUGAAGAAGGUUUUCGGAUCGUAAAGCUCUGUUGUAAGAGAAGAACGGGUGUGAGAGUGGAAAGUUCACACUGUGACGGUAUCUUACCAGAAAGGGACGGCUAACUACGUGCCAGCAGCCGCGGUAAUACGUAGGUCCCGAGCGUUGUCCGGAUUUAUUGGGCGUAAAGCGAGCGCAGGCGGUUAGAUAAGUCUGAAGUUAAAGGCUGUGGCUUAACCAUAGUACGCUUUGGAAACUGUCAAGCUUGAGUGCAGAAGGGGAGAGUGGAAUUCCAUGUGUAGCGGUGAAAUGCGUAGAUAUAUGGAGGAACACCGGUGGCGAAAGCGGCUCUCUGGUCUGUAACUGACGCUGAGGCUCGAAAGCGUGGGGAGCAAACAGGAUUAGAUACCCUGGUAGUCCACGCCGUAAACGAUGAGUGCUAGGUGUUAGACCCUUUCCGGNGUUUAGUGCCGCAGCUAACGCAUUAAGCACUCCGCCUGGGGAGUACGACCGCAAGGUUG